rnacentral:rRNA from 1 species
UACGUAGGGAGCAAGCGUUGUCCGGAAUCAUUGGGCGUAAAGAGCGCGUAGGCGGCCCUGUAAGUCCGCUGUGAAAGUCAAGGGCUCAACCCUUGAAUGCCGGUGGAUACUGCAGGGCUAGAGUCCGGAAGAGGCGAGUGGAAUUCCUGGUGUAGCGGUGAAAUGCGCAGAUAUCAGGAGGAACACCGGUGGCGAAGGCGGUUCUCUGGGCCUUACCUGACGCUGAGGAGCGAAAGCGUGGGGAGCAAACAGG